AGCUAGUUGGUAAGGUAACGGCUUACCAAGGCGAUGACGGGUAGGGGACCUGAGAGGGUGAUCCCCCACAAUGGAACUGAAACACGGUCCAUACACCUACGGGUGCCAGCAGUAGGGAAUAUUGCUUAAUGGGCGCAAGCCUGAAGCAGUAACGCCGCGUGUGCGAUGACGGCCUUCGGGUUGUAAUAGCACUUUUGAUCGGGACGAGGAAGGACGGUACCGGUCGAAUAAGCCUCGGCUAACUACGUGCCAGCAGCCGCGGUAAAACGUAGGAGGCGAGCGUUAUCCGGAUUUACUGGGUGUAAAGCGCGUGCAGGCGGUUUGUUAAGUUGGGUGUAAAAGCUCCUGGCUCAACUGGGAGAGGUCGCUCAAGACUGGCAGACUGGAGCAUGGUAGAGGAAGGUGGAAUUCCGGGAGUAGUGGUGAAAUGCGUAGAUAUCCGGAGGAACACCAGUGGCGAAAGCGGCCUUCUGGACCAUGACUGACGCUCAGACGCGAAAGCCAGGGGAGCAAACGGGAUUAGAGACCCCGGUAGUCCUGGCUGUAAACGAUG
rnacentral:rRNA from 1 species